AGUGAACGCUGGCGGUAGGCCUAACACAUGCAAGUCGAACGGCAGCACAGUAAGAGCUUGCUCUUACGGGUGGCGAGUGGAGGACGGGUGAGGAAUACAUCGGAAUCUACUUUUUCGUGGGGGAUAACGUAGGGAAACUUACGCUAAUACCGCAUACGACCUACGGGUGAAAGCAUUGGAUCUUCUGACCUUGCGCGAAUGAAUGAGCCGAUUUCGGAUUAGCUAGUUAGCGGGGUAAAGGCCCACCAGGACGACGAUCCGUAGCUGGUCUGAGAGGAUGAGCAGUCACACUGGAUCUGGACCACUGUCCAGACUACUACGGGAGUCAGCAUUGGGGCAUCUUAGACUAUGGGCGAUAGUCUGCUACAGCCAUACCGCUUGGUUGAACAAGGCCUUCGUGUUGUAAAGCCCUUUUGUUGGGAAAGAAAAGCAGCAGGUUAAUACCCCGCUGUUCUGACGGUACCCAAAGAAUAAGCACCGGCUAACUUCGUG
rnacentral:rRNA from 1 species